GCCUAUAUCAGGUUGAAACACCAGUUUUUCACAUGAUCACUGAAGUUAAGCAAUGUCAAAUCUGGUAAGUACUAAGAUGGGUGAAUACUUGGGAAUAUCAGGUGCUGCU